AGCCAGUGGCAUAGUGGUUCGAGUGUUGGACUAUGGUUCUGGAGACCAGGGUUCGAUUCCCAGCUCGGCUA